rnacentral:rRNA from 1 species
ACGGAAGGCAGCAGUGGGGAAUAUUGCACAAUGGGGGAAACCCUGAUGCAGCAACGCCGCGUGAAGGAAGACGGUCUUCGGAUUGUAAACUUCUGUUCUUAGUGAAGAUAAUGACGGUAGCUAAGGAGCAAGCCACGGCUAACUACGUGCCAGCAGCCGCGGUAAUACGUAGGUGGCAAGCGUUGUCCGGAAUUACUGGGUGUAAAGGGAGCGCAGGCGGGAAAUCAAGUUGGAUGUGAAAUGUCGAGGCUUAACCCCGGAACUGCAUCCAAAACUGAUUUUCUUGAGUGAAGUAGAGGUAGGCGGAAUUCCGAGUGUAGCGGUGAAAUGCGUAGAUAUUCGGAGGAACACCAGUGGCGAAGGCGGCCUACUGGGCUUUAACUGACGCUGAGGCUCGAAAGUGUGGGGAGCAAACAGGAUUAGAUACCCUGGUA